CCCGGGCCUUGUACACACCGCCCGUCACGUCAUGAAAGUCGGUAACACCCGAAGCCGGUGGCCCAACCCUUGUGGAGGGAGCUGUCGAAGGUGGGACUGGCGAUUAGGACG
rnacentral:rRNA from 1 species